rnacentral:lncRNA from 1 species
AGCUCCUCCAAGAAUAGAGGCUUUCUCCAGAUUUAAAAAGUCAUAUUUAAAAUUCUUUUGAUGCUGCAUCAUAGCUUGAACAGCUGUCACCACGUCCAACUAGGAGCCCCAAAGGAUUAGAAGUAAAAACUUUGCUCACUGCAGAAAGAAAAGCUGUUACACAGUGGUGUUAAGCUGCGGUGCCUGACAGUAAGAGCUCUGGCUGGUUCCUCCUUAUCUCCCCUUGAGCUUCACGGCAUCUCCAGCUCUUACCCAAUCUGCAUAGCUUUCUGCCUUCAUGGCUUUCUCAUAUUUAUGGAAAUGCUUUCAUUUUUCUGCAGUGCUGCACACAAGACUCUCCCAGCACUCACCAACAAAGCUGCACGGUGUCCACCCUCAGGGCUCAGUUACAACUGCAGUCAUUCCCCUGUGAGGAUCCCCUCUGCAGAGCAGGAGCUGCAAAUCUCAGCCUGAACAAGACCAGAGCAAAGGGAAGCAAUGUUCUGUAGUACUCACAGAUCUCAGAAAGUCACUGCACUGAACAUUUGGCAUGCAUUUCCUUUCAGAGCCAUCUUUUAAUAUCAAGGAACAGGGAGAAGACUGCAAAACAGACCAGGCUGAUCAGGAGCUGGGCCAGGUUGCAGAAGCAGCCAUAGGUGAUGACCAAUGCAGCACUUGGAGAGCAACACGAGGUGGCUGAAAGGCAGCUUUGCUCAAGGGCUGCUCAUCUGGAGCAAGGACCUAAAUUCUUCGCGGUGUGUGCAGCAAGCAAUGCCAUAACACUGAUAAAUAGCAAUGUCAGAGGGAGAAAUUCUACUCAUGCAAGACAGAGAGAGAGAAAAGAUUUUUAGAAGGAAUCAAGCAAACUGGCCCACUGCUGUGCUUUGAAAAAAGCGUUGUUACAAGUCAAGGCAGGUUAGUUUAGGCAACACGAGCUUUAAGAAGUCAUCGCCUUCAGACGCCCAUGCACACACCUACUUCGUUGUCCGUAGAUAAUUAUAUGUACAUUAGGUUAUUCUGGAUCCUAAUUAUGCCAUAAAUUUGAUAUAUUUGAAUGAAUUAUGCACAUAUCAUACGUAGAUAUGGUAUUAUUUAAAACUAAAAGUUUAAAAGCAGACCUGAGAGAAGCUGAUUUCAUCGAUAGCUUCUUUCUG